AUAAUGACCACAAAGUUGAAUGACCACCCACCUAAACUAAGUACUAGUCAUUAACGAGCAAUAAUAAAAAUAGCUAUUUUGGAGAGCAAAUAUCAAAGCCUGAUUUUGCACUACGUUUGCAUUCAUAACUCAAAUUAAUUAACUUCCGUUUGUGGAAGCUCAAGAUAAAUUGGGGUUUGGCCUUCUUCACUGCUCUAACUUUGUUGCAUCAAGAUUUACAUAGUUGCUCAACCUUCUGAAAUGAGAGACGAACAACAGAACAAGGAUAGAGGGAGGAUGGUUGAUCUGUGGUUACCGCCAAUAUACGCCUGAUUCCAGUAGCAUCACAAAUCCAUUUACUAUGUCUUCAGUUGAAAAAAUCUCAAUAUGAAGUGCAGAAAGCAAAACAGAUGCCAUUUCCUUUUUCUUGUUUUUCCUUGCUACGGCCGUAAUAGAUGAUGUCCUUGUUCCACUGAGUUUAGAAGAGAUAUCAAACAGGCUGCCACCAAAUUGCAGCAGUGGAUUGGAGACCGUCUACUGGUCGAUCACUUCUACCUGCACGUCAUGCUGGAGAAAGAAUCCUGAGGUGUUGGGGUGGUGGGACUGGAUGGCUGUGGAGGAUGCUAAGGAUAAGAUACAAAAGCUCCUUGAGGAAUUUGAAAGUAGUGGUGUUCUCAGUGAAGCUUGCCAGUGCAUACGAGAUCUCGGAAUGCCAUUCUUCAAUCAUGAGGUAGUGAAGAAAGCGUUGGUUAUGGCAAUCGAGAAGAAGAAAGAUAGGAUGCUGGAUUUUGCUGCAAGUGUGCUUUAAUGAGGGGCUUAUCACCAUCAACCAGAUGACUAAAGGCUUUGGGAGGAUCAAGAAUUGGCUUGAUGAUCUGGUUCUUGACAUUCCGAAAGCAAAGGAUAAAUUCACGUUUUAUGUGGAGCAUGCUCAAGAAAGAAGCUGGUUGUUACCGUCCUUUGGGUUAUCUGAUGAUGCAUCUUAAAUGAGAAGAUCAUAUACAUUAGCUUGUUACAUCUCUGUUUGUUGUUCGUUGAUGCCUUCUCUAAGUAGCUCGUGCCGUUUUGUUGGAACUGGUGGAUAGACACGGACUGUCCGGUCCUUCCUAAUAACACUUUCUUUUAAGUUUCUUGUAUGAUGGAUAUUUGUUGAUGUAAAAUUUAGCCCUCUUGUUCAUCUAAUUUUGUGGUAAACACAUACUGCAUUUC